rnacentral:sRNA from 1 species
GGGUCUAGGCAAUAGCAGUCCUGCCAAAGAUACCCCAUGGCUCGUGCAGAAAGCCCUGAUAUAAAUUCCCUCUUUCUUCUGGGUCUUUCCCUUGGCUUUGGGCGCCUAAGGGGCAAAGGUGAGUGUCUGCACCUGGGGGACGAUUUUGGCAGUCUCUCUGGAUCACAAUCUCUGAUUUUGUUGUAGGCAAUCUGCACCAGGUGACACUCAGAGGGAAGCUGCAUUCCAGGUGACAGUCUUGGAUGUCCGUGUGCCCAACCAAGGACUGGCUUCCUUGGCACGUGGGCUCUAUAGGUAAGCAGGGAUGCCUGGCUGUAGGGAGUCCUACCGGGGCUUAAUGAACCCAAUGAAAGAGAGUAUUUGCAUUUAGCAAAUCAAUGAGGCCUGGGUGGAAUCAAGCCCUCUUGGUGUUUUUGAGAUAGAAAAGCUGCUUUCUGCCCAAGGGAGGGAUGAGCUGUGGGCCCAGAAAGGGCAGGAUUCCCAGAUCAUCAUCUGUUUGGGGACUCCAUGGGUCUGGGUAGGAAUAAACAGAAGGGACCACCUGUAGGAAUGCCACCUUACCAUUAUGGCUCGGGUUUCAUGCCUUGUAUCAGAAGAGACCAUCUAUCUAUGUGCACCUUCUUCACAACAUUGGAUCACACCCAGGCCUGUCAAAGACUCUGGGGGCCCUUGGAGGCUCGGGCAUCUCUUUGGCCUUUUCCUGCUAAAGGGAGGUAGCUCUUGGAGGCACAGUUAGACAGGUGAACACAGAAAGCUACACAGGUAGAAAGAACAGUGGGCCUCACUCAGACUGUUGGGGGUGGUAGGCUA